UGGGGAAUAUUGCACAAUGGACGGAAGUUUGAUGCAGCGACGCCGCGUGGAGGGUGUAGGCCUUCGGGUUGUGAACUCCUUUUUCUCGCGAAAAAGGCACAGUUUUGGCUGUGUUGAUGGUAGUGGGGGAAGAAGCGCCGGCUAACUACGUGCCAGCAGCCGCGGUAAUACGUAGGGCGCGAGCGUUGUCCGGAUUUAUUGGGCGUAAAGAGCUCGUAGGUGGUUCGUCGCGUCUGUCGUGAAAGCCAGCAGCUUAACUGUUGGUCUGCGGUGGGUACGGGUGGGCUUGAGUGCGGUAGGGGUGACUGGAAUUCCUGGUGUAGCGGUGGAAUGCGCAGAUAUCAGGAGGAACACCGAUGGCGAAGGCAGGUCACUGGGCCGUUACUGACACUGAGGAGCGAAAGCGUGGGGAGCGAACAGG
rnacentral:rRNA from 1 species